CUGAUGUGGAUGAAUCUCAUAAGGAAGUUACAUCAGUUUCUGGAGGAAAACACUUGGGAGACACACUGGAGAACCAAAAUCAAUCAGACGAAUCUGAUGGAGAAGUGAAAUCCAAUUCUGAAGGUAAAGUUUUUGCAGAUACUGAGAGUAUACUAGAAGAUGCUAAAAAAGAUGAUGCAGAAGAGGACUCCCAUCCUGAAGAACGGGAAGAUGAAUCAAUUGAAGGCAUGCGAGAGGAAGCAAAUAAAGNACAAAUCAGACUCUGAAGGGACUCAAGAUGAAGACAUUGAUGGGACUACGCUCAGAAAUCCAAAGAAAGCACGUAUCGAAGCAAGUCCUUCCAAUGAAGAGGAUGCUGAGAUAUCUGAUGAUGAGCCUCUUAGCAAAUG
rnacentral:misc_RNA from 1 species